AAAAAUAUAGCCAAUAUUAACGUGCAAUAUCUAAGCGAUACAGAAUUUAGAAAUAGAUUUCGUCUUAGUAAGGAAGCAUUUUUGCAUUUAUGUCGCGAAUUAAGGGUCAAAUCUAGUCUAAGACCAAGUAAAAGGAUCAGCCUGGAACAUAAAGUACUGUGUGCUUUAUCAUUUUAUGCUACAGGCUCCUACCAAAGAAUAGUAGGAAUGGCUAAAGGUUUAGGGCAAACCACAGUCAGUAAAUAUGUGAGACAGGUUACUGACGCCCUCGUAACCCCCUCAAUAUUAAAUUAUUUUAUAAAAUUUCCUGCGACGCUAGAGCAGCGUAAUAUUAUAAAAAACAAAUUUUAUACAAAAUUUGGCAUCCCUGGAGUAAUAGGAUGCAUAGAUGGGUCUCAUUUUCAUAUAUUCACUCCAAAAAGAGACAUUGAGCAUUUAUUUUAUUGCAGAAAGCAUUUCUACUCACUGAAUGUGCAAAUGGUGAGAUAUUAAAUUUUAAU